AGAGUUUGAUCAUGGCUCAGAGUGAACGCUGGCGGCAGGCCUAAUACAUGCAAGUCGAACGGCAGCACAGCAGAGCUUGCUCUGUGGGUGGCGAGUGGCGGACGGGUGAGGAAUACGUGGGAAUCUGCCCAGUCGUGGGGGAUAACGUAGGGAAACUUACGCUAAUACCGCAUGCGCCCUUCGGGGGAAAGCCGGGGACCUUCGGGCCUGGCGCGAUUGGAUGAGCCCACGUCGGAUUAGCUAGUUGGCGGGGUAAAGGCCCACCAAGGCGACGAUCCGUAGCUGGUCUGAGAGGAUGAUCAGCCGCACUGGAACUGAGACACGGUCCAGACUCCUACGGGAGGCAGCAGUAGGGAAUAUUGGACAAUGGGCGCAAGCCUGAUCCAGCCAUGCCGCGUGAGUGAAGAAGGCCCUCGGGUUGUAAAGCUCUUUUGUCCGGAAAGAAAAGCGCCGGGUUAAUACCCUGGUGUCCUGACGGUACCGGAAGAAUAAGCACCGGCUAACUUCGUG
rnacentral:rRNA from 1 species